GAUGAACGCUAGCGACAGGCCUAACACAUGCAAGUCGAGGGGCAGCACAUGAGUAGCAAUACGAUGGUGGCGACCGGCGCACGGGUGAGUAACACGUAUGCAACCUGCCUUCUACUAUGGGAUAACCCGUUGAAAGACGGACUAAUACCGUAUAAUACUGGGGCUCCGCAUGGAGAUAUUUGUUAAAGAUUUAUUGGUAGAAGAUGGGCAUGCGUAUGAUUAGAUAGUUGGUGAGGUAACGGCUCACCAAGUCAACGAUCAUUAGGGGUUCUGAGAGGAAGGUCCCCCACACUGGUACUGAGACACGGACCAGACUCCUACGGGAGGCGGCGGUGAGGAAUAUUGGUCAAUGGACGAGAGUCUGAACCAGCCAAGUCGCGUGAAGGAAGACGGUUCUAUGAAUUGUAAACUUCUUUUGUGCAGGAAUAAAGUGGGUUACGUGUAACCUUUUGUAUGUACUGUACGAAUAAGGAUCGGCUAACUCCGUGCCAGCCGCCGCGGUAAAAC
rnacentral:rRNA from 1 species